CCUACGGGUGGCUGCAGUGGGGAAUAUUGGGCAAUGGAGGAAACUCUGACCCAGCAACGCCGCGUGAAUGAUGAAGGUCUUCGGAUUGUAAAGUUCUUUUCUAAGGGAAGAAGACAGUGACGGUACCUUAGGAAUAAGCCUCGGCUAACUACGUGCAAGCAGCCGCGGUAAUACGUAGGAGGCAAGCGUUAUCCGGAAGGACUGGUCGUAAGGGGUGCGUAGGUGGUUUGACAAGUUGGUAGCGUAACUCCGGGGCUUAACCUCGGCACUGCUGCCAAUACUGUCGGACUAGAGUGCAGGAGGGGUAAACGGAAUGCCUAGUGUAGCGGUGGAAUGCGUAGAUAUCAGGAGGAACACCAGUGGCGAAGGCGAUUUGCUGGACUGUAACUGACGCUGAGGCACGAAAGCGUGGGGAGCAAACAGGAUUAGAUACCCGAGUAGUC
rnacentral:rRNA from 1 species